GGUAGCAAGGACCAAUUCCAGUGGGA
rnacentral:piRNA from 1 species